rnacentral:rRNA from 1 species
UACGUAGGGUGCAAGCGUUGUCCGGAAUUAUUGGGUGUAAAGAGCUCGUAGGCGGUCUGUCGCGUCGGAUGUGAAAAUCCAGGGCUUAACCCUGGGCCUGCAUUCGAUACGGGCAGACUAGAGUUCGGUAGGGGAGACUGGAAUUCCUGGUGUAGCGGUGAAAUGCGCAGAUAUCAGGAGGAACACCGGUGGCGAAGGCGGGUCUCUAGGCCGACACUGACGCUGAGGAGCGAAAGCGUGGGGAGCGAACAGG